rnacentral:rRNA from 1 species
CCUACGGGAGGCAGCAGUAGGGAAUUUUGCGCAAUGGGGGAAACCCUGACGCAGCAACGCCAUGUGUGGGAUGAAGCAUUUCGGUGUGUAAACCACUGUCAGCGGGGAAUAAACGGCAGCUUCGGGCUGCUUUGAAUGUACCCGCAAAGGAAGCCCCGGCUAACUUCGUGCCAGCAGCCGCGGUAAUACGAGGGGGGCAAAUGUUGUUCGGAAUCACUGGGCGUAAAGGGAGCGUAGGCGGGUUCUUAAGUAAGGUGUUUAAUCCCGGGGCCCAACCCCGGACCGGCAUUUUAAACUGGGAAUCUUGAAUAGUGGAGAGGUCGGUGGAAUUGGAGGUGUAGCGGUGGAAUGCGUAGAGAUCUCCAAGAACACCAGUUGCGAAGGCGGCCGACUGGACACAUAUUGACGCUGAGGCUCGAAAGCAUGGGGAGCAAACAGGAUUAGAUACCCUGGUAGUCCAUGCCAUAAACGAUGAAUACUAGGUUUUGGGCCCGUCAACGGUCCAGAGCCGCAGCUAACGCGUUAAGUAUUCCGCCUGGGGAGUACGGUCGCAAGACUGAAACUCAAAUGAAUUGACGGGG